rnacentral:rRNA from 1 species
UUCCGACCUGAACUCAGACGAGACUACCCGCUGAACUUAAGCAUAU